rnacentral:misc_RNA from 1 species
GAUGAAGAACGCAGCGAAAUGCGAUAAGUAGUGUGAAUUGCAGAAUUCAGUGAAUCAUCGAAUCUUUGAACGCACAUUGCGCCCCUUGGUAUUCCAUGGGGCAUGCCUGUUCGAGCGUCAUUUGUAUCUUCAAGCUUUGCUUGGUGUUGGGUGUUUGUCCUUCUCUAUGCGUGGACUCGCCUUAAAUCAAUUGGCAGCCGGUAAUCUGGUGCUAAGAGUGCAGCACAUUGUGCGCUCCUCGCUGUGUAUUGCGGCGUCCAUUAAGCCUACAUUUUUUGCUCUUGACCUCGGAUCAGGUAGGGAUACCCGCUGAACUUAAGCAUAUCAAUAAGCGGAGGA